GGAUGUGAGGGAGAUCUGGCUGCGAUAUCUGUCACCCCACUGAUGACCAGGGUUGACUCGGCUCAUCUGGCUGGCUAGCGGGUGUCCCCUUCCUCCUUCACUGCUCUGUGUGCGUCCUUCCGGAAGGACGGCCUCCUCCGGACAGAGAUGGACCUUCAGUCAAGGGUAUCUGAGUAGCUGCGCUCCCCUGCUGGACCCCCCAACAAGCUCUCAAGAAUGUACCGGGAAUGGCUAAGAUCCGUUCAUAGCCGGGCCCUCAGCUACCAUUACUAUUACUGUCUGUGGAUACAUACGCAUAUAUAUUUACAGACAUGU
ensembl:misc_RNA 7SK 7SK RNA